rnacentral:rRNA from 1 species
UUAAGUUAUUAAGGGCGCACGGUGGAUGCCUUGGCACUAGAAGCCGAUGAAGGACGUUACUAACGACGAUAUGCUUUGGGGAGCUGUAAGUAAGCUUUGAUCCAGAGAUUUCCGAAUGGGGAAACCCAGCAUGAGUUAUGUCAUGUUAUCGAUAUGUGAAUACAUAGCAUAUCAGAAGGCACACCCGGAGAACUGAAACAUCUUAGUACCCGGAGGAAGAGAAAGAAAAUUCGAUUCCCUUAGUAGCGGCGAGCGAAACGGGAAGAGCCCAAACCAACAAGCUUGCUUGUUGGGGUUGUAGGACACUCUAUACGGAGUUACAAAGGACGACAUUAGACGAAUCAUCUGGAAAGAUGAAUCAAAGAAGGUAAUAAUCCUGUAGUCGAAAAUGUUGUCUCUCUUGAGUGGAUCCUGAGUACGACGGAGCACGUGAAAUUCCGUCGGAAUCUGGGAGGACCAUCUCCUAAGGCUAAAUACUCUCUAGUGACCGAUAGUGAACCAGUACCGUGAGGGAAAGGUGAAAAGCACCCCGGAAGGGGAGUGAAAUAGAACCUGAAACCGUGUGCUUACAAGUAGUCAGAGCCCGUUAAUGGGUGAUGGCGUGCCUUUUGUAGAAUGAACCGGCGAGUUACGAUUUGAUGCAAGGUUAAGCAGUAAAUGUGGAGCCGUAGCGAAAGCGAGUCUGAAUAGGGCGUUUAGUAUUUGGUCGUAGACCCGAAACCAGGUGAUCUACCCUUGGUCAGGUUGAAGUUCAGGUAACACUGAAUGGAGGACCGAACCGACUUACGUUGAAAAGUGAGCGGAUGAACUGAGGGUAGCGGAGAAAUUCCAAUCGAACCUGGAGAUAGCUGGUUCUCUCCGAAAUAGCUUUAGGGCUAGCCUCAAGUGAUGAUUAUUGGAGGUAGAGCACUGUUUGGACGAGGGGCCCCUCUCGGGUUACCGAAUUCAGACAAACUCCGAAUGCCAAUUAAUUUAACUUGGGAGUCAGAACAUGGGUGAUAAGGUCCGUGUUCGAAAGGGAAACAGCCCAGACCACCAGCUAAGGUCCCAAAAUAUAUGUUAAGUGGAAAAGGAUGUGGCGUUGCCCAGACAACUAGGAUGUUGGCUUAGAAGCAGCCAUCAUUUAAAGAGUGCGUAAUAGCUCACUAGUCGAGUGACACUGCGCCGAAAAUGUACCGGGGCUAAACAUAUUACCGAAGCUGUGGAUUGUCCUUUGGACAAUGGUAGGAGAGCGUUCUAAGGGCGUUGAAGCAUGAUCGUAAGGACAUGUGGAGCGCUUAGAAGUGAGAAUGCCGGUGUGAGUAGCGAAAGACGGGUGAGAAUCCCGUCCACCGAUUGACUAAGGUUUCCAGAGGAAGGCUCGUCCGCUCUGGGUUAGUCGGGUCCUAAGCUGAGGCCGACAGGCGUAGGCGAUGGAUAACAGGUUGAUAUUCCUGUACCACCUAUAAUCGUUUUAAUCGAUGGGGGGACGCAGUAGGAUAGGCGAAGCGUGCGAUUGGAUUGCACGUCUAAGCAGUAAGGCUGAGUAUUAGGCAAAUCCGGUACUCUUUAAGGCUGAGCUGUGAUGGGGAGAAGACAUUGAGUCUUCGAGUCGUUGAUUUCACACUGCCGAGAAAAGCCUCUAGAUAGAAAAUAGGUGCCCGUACCGCAAACCGACACAGGUAGUCAAGAUGAGAAUUCUAAGGUGAGCGAGCGAACUCUCGUUAAGGAACUCGGCAAAAUGACCCCGUAACUUCGGGAGAAGGGGUGCUCUUUAGGGUUAACGCCCAGAAGAGCCGCAGUGAAUAGGCCCAAGCGACUGUUUAUCAAAAACACAGGUCUCUGCUAAACCGUAAGGUGAUGUAUAGGGGCUGACGCCUGCCCGGUGCUGGAAGGUUAAGAGGAGUGGUUAGCUUCUGCGAAGCUACGAAUCGAAGCCCCAGUAAACGGCGGCCGUAACUAUAACGGUCCUAAGGUAGCGAAAUUCCUUGUCGGGUAAGUUCCGACCCGCACGAAAGGCGUAACGAUUUGGGCACUGUCUCAACGAGAGACUCGGUGAAAUCAUAGUACCUGUGAAGAUGCAGGUUACCCGCGACAGGACGGAAAGACCCCGUGGAGCUUUACUGUAGCCUGAUAUUGAAAUUCGGCACAGCUUGUACAGGAUAGGUAGGAGCCUUUGAAACGUGAGCGCUAGCUUACGUGGAGGCGCUGGUGGGAUACUACCCUAGCUGUGUUGGCUUUCUAACCCGCACCACUUAUCGUGGUGGGAGACAGUGUCAGGCGGGCAGUUUGACUGGGGCGGUCGCCUCCUAAAAGGUAACGGAGGCGCUCAAAGGUUCCCUCAGAAUGGUUGGAAAUCAUUCAUAGAGUGUAAAGGCAUAAGGGAGCUUGACUGCGAGACCUACAAGUCGAGCAGGGUCGAAAGACGGACUUAGUGAUCCGGUGGUUCCGCAUGGAAGGGCCAUCGCUCAACGGAUAAAAGCUACCCCGGGGAUAACAGGCUUAUCUCCCCCAAGAGUUCACAUCGACGGGGAGGUUUGGCACCUCGAUGUCGGCUCAUCGCAUCCUGGGGCUGUAGUCGGUCCCAAGGGUUGGGCUGUUCGCCCAUUAAAGCGGUACGCGAGCUGGGUUCAGAACGUCGUGAGACAGUUCGGUCCCUAUCCGUCGUGGGCGUAGGAAAUUUGAGAGGAGCUGUCCUUAGUACGAGAGGACCGGGAUGGACAUACCUCUGGUGUACCAGUUGUCGUGCCAACGGCAUAGCUGGGUAGCUAUGUGUGGACGGGAUAAGUGCUGAAAGCAUCUAAGCAUGAAGCCCCCCUCAAGAUGAGAUUUCCCAACUUCGGUUAUAAGAUCCCUCAAAGAUGAUGAGGUUAAUAGGUUCGAGGUGGAAGCAUGGUGACAUGUGGAGCUGACGAAUACUAAUCGAUCGAAGACUUAAUCAA